GGCAGUGUGGUGCAGUGGUUAGAGCAUAAGUCUUGGAAGACCAGGGUUCGAAUCCCCCGCUCAGCCA